rnacentral:rRNA from 1 species
AACAGGAUUAGAUACCCUGGUAGUCCACGCUGUAAACGAUGUCGACUUGGAGGUUGUUCCCUUGAGGAGUGGCUUCCGGAGCUAACGCGUUAAGUCGACCGCCUGGGGAGUACGGCCGCAAGGUUAAAACUCAAAUGAAUUGACGGGGGCCCGCACAAGCGGUGGAGCAUGUGGUCUAAUUCGAUGCAACGCGAAGAACCUUACCUACUCUUGACAUCCAGAGAACUUAGCAGAGAUGCUUUGGUGCCUUCGGGAACUCUGAGACAGGUGCUGCAUGGCUGUCGUCAGCUCGUGUUGUGAAAUGUUGGGUUAAGUCCCGCAACGAGCGCAACCCUUAUCCUUUGUUGCCAGCGGUCCGGCCGGGAACUCAAAGGAGACUGCCAGUGAUAAACUGGAGGAAGGUGGGGAUGACGUCAAGUCAUCAUGGCCCUUACGAGUAGGGCUACACACGUGCUACAAUGGCAUAUACAAAGAGAAGCGACCUCGCGAGAGCAAGCGGACCUCAUAAAGUAUGUCGUAGUCCGGAUUGGAGUCUGCAACUCGACUCCAUGAAGUCGGAAUCGCUAGUAAUCGUGGAUCAGAAUGCCACGGUGAAUACGUUCCCGGGCCUUGUACACACCGCCCGUCACACCAUGGGAGUGGGUUGCAAAAGAAGUAGGUAGCUUAACCUUCGGGAGGGCGCUUACCACUUUGUGAUUCAUGACUGGGGUGAAGUCGUAACAAGGUAACC